AUAAAUUUACUAAAUUCAUCCCUUUUUUUUGUGUUUCAUUUUGGUACAGCUUUUCCAUUUCCAACCAGCCUCCCUUUCCUUUAUAGCUUGCAACUAUUAAACAAUUAGACAAAAAGAAAGAGGAAUUUUCAUUUCACAAGGAAAAACAAGAAUAUGGGUCAUCAUCACCACCACGACCACCAUGACAGUCCAUAUGAUGAUCCAUUCUUGGCAUGUUGUUGCUGCCCAUGUUUGAUAGUCUCCUCUGUUUUCUCUAUGUUUACGAGGUGCAUCUUUGUGGCAUGCGACCCUUUUCUGCAAUGUUUAGGAUGGGAUGAACAUAGGCAUCAUCAUCAUCAUCACCACAGUCAUUUCUGUUAACCCCCAAAUUGAAGAUUAUUUUGUGUCUCCAAACUCUAGCAAGACUAAGUUUUUUGUGUUCAGUGUCAGAGGAUUGUUAGUAUUUCAAUUUGGUUUUUUGUGUAUACUUCACCUUGUACCGGUUAACUUUUGAGUUAUUGUUUGUUCACUAUUAGUCCAGCGGGUGGAAGAAAAAUUGUAUCUUUUCAACCAUAUGCUGUUGCAAAUCCUUUAAUUACGCAGUUCCAAAGUUUGUGUUGUUUUGCUGAAACUUCGGGCCUGUUUGGCCACGAUAAUUAUUCACUUUUUUCUAUUUUUUCACUUUAUUUUAAAAUCAGUGUUUGGUUUUAAAAUUUUCAAAUUCAACUUAGAGUUGGAAUGUUUUUCAACUCGAUCUUCAUAAAAAAGUUUGGUCGGAGCAGUUCAAUUGGUAAAUAUUGAGGGACUUGUAUCUUAGGUCACAAAUUUGAGCCCUGCACCAAUCGAAUUAAGCCGAGUAUCUAAGUGGAGAAGGAUAGAGGUCCGGACCUAUCAUUCUCAGUUUCAAAUAUUACGGUUGGCCUAAAAGGUUGGCUCCAGACAAAUUUUUUAAUCAUAAAAAAAAAAAUAGAACAUUUCACCUCAAAUUAUCAGCUCUGAUUGAUACAAAAUAGGUCCCCUUUGUGGACUGGCGCAGAUAAGAGCACAAGUAGGGAAAGAAAGCGAUAAAGAAAUACAUAAAAUCCCAGCUGUACGGCUCCACGCCGAAGGAAUAAGGUCUAUUUAAUCUGAGAGCAUUGACGAUUUAGUAUAAGAGCAGUUCAAAAGCAGUUAAAAUACACCGAUAUCUUUACACUGCUUGAUUUAUAACUUAAAUUCAGUUUAGAGGAUGAAAAGUCAUACUAGGCUAUCGUACAAUGAAUUAGUCAUGUCGAAUUUGGCUCCACCGCUUUUGUGUUAAGGUGGCCAAGAAGGGAAUGUGAAUCUGCAUCAGUUGGUGCUUUAACUGAAUAAAAUAUGCCUUCAUGAAA